GGUGGUAUAGCUCAGUGGUAGAGCGGAUUCUUGGUGUGCAUGAGGUUCUGGGUUCAAUCCCCAGUGCCUCCA
rnacentral:tRNA from 1 species